UAUCAGCAGCUUAGUCUCUCUUACUGCAUGAUAGAUCUCUGAUUUGGUAGUAAAGUUGUUUGCUUUCAAUAUUUAAUGAUGUGGAUAAUUUAUACUGAUUUAAGAGUUAGCAGUGAAAUGUACUGCACUUUACUAGAUAAAUAUUUUUUCUUCUUCCCAGCUAUUUUAUUUAAUGCAGUUUAGCUUAAUAUAAGGUACAUGAUGGAACACAGCAGGUAUAUAUAAUUUUUCUUGUUAUUUUAAUUUAUGUAACAUCUAAUGUAAAUUUUAAUCCUGCACCUAAAUUUCAAGAAUCACUUGCUGUCUUUUGUUCCAUGAAUUUUAAGCAUGUUUUUGUAUUUUAUCUGAAUUUUGUGUGAUAAGCAAAUAUCCAUGAAAAACUGUAAAAAUGGAUAUUUAAAAUUUUUAGUCAGUACAAAGUUAAAUGUUUCUAGUAGGCAUGGUUAGAUAUGUGUUCCAAAUGCAAAUUUUAUUUCCUUUUCAUGUUUAUCUCUUAUUUUCUUUCUUACUAUCUUGCCAAGAAUUGUAGUUUCUCAUUAACGUGGUACUUUUGAGAUAACUUUAUAAAACACAUAAAGAUUAAGUAUAAUCAGUCUGAAAUCUUAUUAUUUUUAUAGACACACAAAGCUGUUGUUUGAUGAUUUAAUCAAAGCAUGUCAUUAGUGUUUAAGGAAGUCUUUUACAAAGCAGUUUCCGAUUAUAUUUUCGUGGUUACCAAGCAUAGGUAGCUGAGAAACAUUGGAUAAGAAUGUGAAAGAACCAGAGCAGAUUUUCUUGUUUUUGUUUUUUAAGAACAUUGUUAGGGUUACAGUUGACAUACAUCAGACUAUACAUUUAAAAUAAAUGAUUUGAUAACUUUAACAUUUGUGCACAUGUGAAACCAUCACCAUAAUCAAGACAAUAAAUAUUCAUCACCCUCAAGUCUUAUUUCUGCUUGAAUUCUUUACUGUUAUCCUCCCACACUCAUUCCCUGACCCCCAAAUCUGUAGGCAACUUGGUCUUUUUUUUUUCUGGAAUAUCAUAGACUGAACUUUACUCUGAGUCUGUUAGGUGGGAUCAGAUCAGUAGAAAUGAUGCAAGUAAACUGGUAAAGAUCAAAGAUUAUAAUUGAAAGCAAUCCUUGGCCCAGUUGUAGAAGCAGAAAAAUUUCCCAAUGUACAGUACUUUAUUUAGCUUAAAAUGAUUGACUUUAUUGUAUUAGAAAUUGUUACUUGGGUUUUCCCAAAUUUGCAGAAGUUGACCUUAGUUUGUGGACAUUGCCCUUAGUUUGUGUGUGAAAACUGAACUCAUCCUGGAAUUACUUAACUUUUUUUAACUUCCUUGACCUUCCUCACUUGACUCAGAUCAUAGGAACCAUCUUCCCCACCCAUCACCAUUUUGCUAUGAGAUAUAUGUGGCAAGAUUUUUUUUUUUUUUGUCUUUUUUGUCUUUUUCCUAUUUAUCAGUACCGGGGAUCGAACUCACGACUGCCUGCUUGCAAGGCAGGCGCUUAUGCCGCUGAGCUAAAUCCCCAGCCCCUGUGUGGUAAGAUUUAAAUUUGAGGAAUCUAAUUAUUUUUCCUUGAUAUCUUUUUUUUUUUUUUUUUUUUUUUUUUUUUGGUCUUUUUCCUUUUUAUCGGUACCGGGGAUCGAACUCACAACUGCCUGCUUACAAGGCAGGUGCUUAUGCCACUGAGCUAAAUCCCCAGCCCCCUUUUCUUGAUAUCUUAAUGGCCUACCUAGGAUUCUCUACCUUUCCUCUGCCAGUUCUUGUCAAUUCAAACAACUGUAAAACAGGUUCCAUAUUGAGCAAUUCAUAUUGUAUAAAAUCAUUAUAGUCAUCACACAGUCAUAUAUAAAGAAACUCCUGCCUAAAAGUGAGGAUGAAUUUUUAAAGGCCUUCAGAUAGUUUGAAAACCUCUUUCACUUCCCAACUCUUCUGUUUUGGCAGUCUAGUAAGAUGCUUUGAAGCAUUUAUGCUAAGGGCUUAAAUAAAAGUAUUUUCUACCCAGACUAGACUAUUCUUCUAAUAUUAAGAAUAAGAACUCAGGUUCUGGACACAGUAGAAUUCUGGAUUAUGUGGAUUUAGGCAAGUAGUAAUCUAUGUGACUUUCAGUUUCCUAAUUUUUAAAAUGGUAAUAGUAGUUAAUACUUCAUAGGAAUAUUUACUGGGCACAGAAUACUCACUCUGUGAAUAUUUUAGUCAUCGUCCUAAACAUUGUAAUAAGCAGAGACCCUAUCUAUGAUAUCAUCUGUGAGGUUUGUCUACAAGAUUAAAAUACAGGUCAGAUUUGUCCCAGGCUUACUUCUUUCAUUGACAUUCGUCAGUUCUAUCUUCUACUUAUAAAUUUAGCAGAAAAUUGUAUUAUGAGUGUGACUAACAUAGCUCACAGGGAACUAAUCCUGUCUUCAAUGAGGCCUUUUCAGUUCAGUCAUUUUACUCCCUAGAAUAAAGUCUGAUCUUUUGUAUUGAAAAUACAUAAAAUUUAAACAUCAUUUAGUACCACUGUGUUUCUCUACAAAUGAGACCUUCCUGGAAAAUAACCAGACUACAGAUCAAAAUGCCAACCCCAAUCAGGCUAUCUUUGCCUUACCUGCCCUACAGAGAAGCCACUGAGCAAGAGAACAGUGAGGCAGGUAAGGCAAAAAUAGGCUGAGUGGGACUGGCAGUUUUGACCUCUAGUUUUCAGUGCUGAUUAUUUUUCAACUAGGUCUUACUUUCAGAGUAACAGUGUAUUUAAGCAAAUUCUGCAUGUUGACAGGGUCUAGAAAUACUAAACUAUAUCCAGCUUUCCAGGAAACCCAUUCAUAGCUAAAAGGGACAAAUUCUUAUGUUAUAAAAAAGGAAAGUCUUCAAGUAGCUAGUCUCUAGCUUUUAGUCAUAAGACCCCUUUACAAUCUUAAAAAGCUCCAAGGAGCUUUUUCAUGCUAUUAUAUACUGUGGCAACAAGUAAUUUUCUUUGAGAGAGCCUCAUCUUUGGGCACACAUCAGCCAUUUAUUCUGCAUAACACCUCCCCCUGCCCUGCUUUUUAAACAGAAUACCCAAAAGAUGUGUACUAAGAGGUUUAGAUUUUAAUAAAAGUAAUAAUUCUUAUUAUUCUGAGUAAUAAUUUUUACUAUUAAAAAUAAAAUCCUUAAGUGAAGCCGCUUAUUUUUAACUGUAAGUGGGACCUAGUGAAAAAUACAAAGAUCAUUUUGUAUUUGUAUUUUUGUGCCAUUGCUAUGAUUUGUACUAAGGCACCAGUAGUUUUAACCAAAAUAGGCAAAAGUGUUAGAGGCACUAUGAAAAUUGUUUUGACCUCAUUAAUCUCCCAAAAGGUGGCAGAGGGGUUUCACAGAGGAGAAACAGUUCACAGCAGGCAGAAGGUAGCAAGCAACAGUGAGUAACAAGCAGUGACCCUUUCUGUCCCUUAUAUUUAUCCAGGCUACUUACCCUUAGAGCAGGUAGCACUCACACCCUUAAUCCUAGCAUGACAUCCUUGAUCCCAGCAUCACAUGCCCUAGAUCCAGCCACCCCUGAAAAGCCCCACCUAUGACUGCAUGAGGCUUUGGGGGGAAAUCUACAUACAAGCUAUAACAAGUACCAAGGCAUCGCUAUAGUUAGGAUGUCAGGUAUGUUUAGAUCACUGAGAGAGAUCGUAUAGAAUAGAAAGAGGAGAAUUUUGUGGUAAAAAUCUGGGGGAAAAAAUAAGAGAUUAGGAGCAAAAAGGCAGUGAUGUAAAAAUGCACAAGGAACUAUCACAGGUAAAAAGAAUACAAAAUAUAAAGUAAGUCCUAACGCUAAGGGGAAGAGAGAGUUUAAAACCAUUGAGCUGUAUCUCUCAUUCCAGAGAAGUUACAAAAGGUAAAGACUGAGACUUCUUGAGUGAAGUGGCCUAAUAGUCAUCAUGACCCCUUGGGAGCCAACUGUUCACUGAAGAGGUGACAAAAGACAGUGCUGCAGAUUGAAGGGGCAACAGAUUUACAGCUGUUGCGUCAAGUGACUUUUAUAUAAAAGGAAAAGCAGAAUCAAUUGUUUGGUUUAGAAAGGUUUUCAAGUUGGGAAAACUUGAGUUUUUUUGUUGUGCCAAAGUAAGAGCCAUUAGCAAGGGAGAAAGCAAGGGAAGAUUGACGGAUAGUAUAGGUCCCAGCUGGAGAGCUGAAAGAAGACGCUCUUUUUGCUAAAAUUGGUGAAAAAGAAACCAAAGGCAGUUGAAGAUGUUGCCAGGUUUGGGAUGUGGUAGGGAGAACUUUGAGAGGCUCCCAGAUGGGAACUGUUUCCUAUGAAGUGCCAAGUGAAGGUGCUGCUGCAGGAGAUGGAGGGGAGGGAUCAGGUCCAGUGUGGUCACAGGCUGCUUCUGUUUUUCUUCAAAGUGAAUGGAGGAAAGAACCUGAGAGAACCAGAGAAAAGGAAAUUGUAAUCAGCGAAAUAAUCCAAUUGUUGAUUGUGAUAGCUAGAGUUGUGAUUCAGUUCACCUAUUCUCUGUUUAUUUUCUCUACAUUUAAGUGAAAUCCAAUAUAAUGCAGACUUCAAAAGCUUGUUUCUUGCUUUUCCACAGGCAGAAUUAAAUAAUAAAAAUAAUAAACCUUGCUAAGAUUUAUAAACUUUUAUUCAAAGUCAGGCACGAUGCAGAUUUUUUAUGUGUAUAAUCUGUGUAUGAUUCUCGUACGCCUUGAGCAAUGGGUAUGAUUAUCUGAUUUUACAUUUGGUGAAAGGAAGGCUCAGAAUAGUUUAAUAAUAAGGUUGUUAAGCUUAAGAUCUAAAAUUUUCUAACUCAAAAUUCUGUGUGUGUGGUAUUUGUUUCUUGGGGUUCCAUUUGUCGUUUGUUUUGCCAAACUAAGCCUUUGGCUUUCACACUGAGCUGCAUCCCCAACUCUCCCGCGCCCCCUCAUAGGACAGGAUUUUGCUGAGUCUCUAAGUCACCCAGGCUGGCCUUGAAUUUUCAGUCUUCGUGCCUCAGCUUCCCAGGAAACUAGGAUUACUGGCAUAGGCCCCCAAAACGAGUUAGAAAAUCUUGUUCUUAAUGAGUUACUUUGCUUUAGGUUAGAUUCCUGCCACUUUAUGUCUUUUCUUUACUACCUCAAUGGUCUACCUAGAAUAUGUCAUACAGCUCAUUAUAAUAUUCAACAAAAUGAAAUAUAAAGAAAAAUUUUGUACUAUAGCCCUUAUUUAUUUAAAUGGAUAGAGUAUUACAAGUUGAAUACAACCUUCUGUGCCACUCAUUUUGGAGUAUUUAAUGUUAAAAUAGCAUUGUUUCAAACUUUAAAGAUGAAGCAAACAAAAAUAUAAAAUAGACUAAUAUAUGUAUAUAUAUUCAUAAGUAUAUAUACAUAAAUAAAUACAUACAUACAUAGAAAAUGAAUGGGGGACAGGAAUUUAGCUCAGUGGCACAAGUGCCUGUCUGGUAAACACAAGGUCAUGAGUUUGAUGCCGAUCACCCCCAUCAAAAAAAAAGAAAGAAGAGGGAUGCAGAUAAAAAACACAGAAAAUGAAUGGCUGAGCAGAAACUAUUAUCAUUAAUAUCCCGUAAUUUACUGACUGUGUUGUGUGUGUACCUGUGUGUGUGCGUGCGUAUACACAUGUUAGGGAUUAAACCCAAGGCCUGGUGCAUGCUAAGCACACAACUCUACCACUCCAGUGCUUGUUGAUAUUCUUUUAAUUGUACUCUAAUGGAAAAA